rnacentral:rRNA from 1 species
AUUGAAGCCCCAGUGAACGGCGGCCGUAACUAUAACGGUCCUAAGGUAGCGAAAUUCCUUGUCGGGUAAGUUCCGACCCGCAUGAAAGGCGUAAUGAUUUGGGCGCUGUCUCAACAAUAGACUCGGUGAAAUUUAAAUUCCAGUGAAGAUGCUGGGUACCCGCGACAGGACGGAAAGACCCCGUGGAGCUUUACUGUAGCUUGAUAUUGAAUGUUUGUGCUGCAUGUGCAGGAUAGGUAGGAGACUUUGAAGUCGGAACGCUAGUUUCGAUUGAGUCACCCUUGAGAUACUACCUCUGUUGUAUGAACGUUCUAACUCUGAUCAGUUAUCCUGAUCGAAGACAGUGUCUGGCAGGCAGUUUGACUGGGGCGGUCGCCUCCUAAAAGAUAACGGAGGCGCUCAAAGGUUUGCUCAGAAUGGUUGGAAAUCAUUCGUAGCGUGUAAAGGCAUAAGCAAGCUUGACUGUGAGACUGACAAGUCGAGCAGGUACGAAAGUAGGACUUAGUGAUCCGGUGGUUCCGUAUGGAAGGGCCAUCGCUCAACGGACAAAAGCUACCCCGGGGAUAACAGGCUCAUCUCCCCCAAGAGUCCACAUCGACGGGGAGGUUUGGCACCUCGAUGUCGGCUCAUCGCAUCCUGGGGCUGUAGUCGGUCCCAAGGGUUGGGCUGUUCGCCCAUUAAAGCGGUACGCGAGCUGGGUUCAGAACGUCGUGAGACAGUUCGGUCCCUAUCCGUCGUGGGCGCAGGAAAUUUGAGAGGAUCUGUCCUUAGUACGAGAGGACCGGGAUGGACAUACCUCUGGUGUACCAGUUGUUCUGCCAAGAGCACCGCUGGGUAGCUACGUAUGGAUUAGAUAAUCGCUGAAAGCAUCUAAGUGAGAAACUAACCUCGAGAUGAGAUUUCCCAUUCGUCAGAAGUAAGACCCCUGAGAGACGAUCAGGUAGAUAGGCUAGAAGUGGAAGUGUAGUGAUGCAUGGAGCGGACUAGUACUAAUAGGUCGAGGACUUAACCAAG